CCUACGGGCGGCAGCAGUGAGGAAUAUUGGUCCAUGGGCGCUAGCCUGAACCAGCCACGUAGCGUGAAGGAUGACUGCCCUCUGGGUUGUAACCUUCUUUUAUAUGGGAAUCAAGUGCAGUAUGUAUACUGCUUUGCAUGUACCUUAUGACUCAGGCUCGGCUAACUCCGUGCCAGCAGCCGCUGUAAUACGGAGGAUCCGAUCGUUAGCCGGAGUUAUUGGGUUUAAAGGGAGCGUAGGCGGUUUGUUAAGUCAGUUGUGAAAGUUUUCGGCUCAACCGUAAAAUUGCAGUUGAUACUGGCAUCCUUGAGUACAGUAGAGGUAGGCGGAAUUCGUGGUGUAGCGGUGAAAUGCGUAGAGAUCACGAAGAACUCCGAUUGCGAAGGCAGCCUGCUGGACUGUAACUGACGCUGAUGCUCGAAAGUGUGGGUAUCAAACAGGAUUAGAUACCCGGGUAGUC
rnacentral:rRNA from 1 species